rnacentral:rRNA from 1 species
GCUUAACACAUGCAAGUCGGGCGAGAAUCGUUUUGCUGAGGGCUUCGGUCCGAUGCAGAAUGAGGAAAGCGGCGAACGGGUGAGUAAAGCGUGGGCAACCUGGCCUUAAGAAAAGGAUAGCACCCGGAAACGGGGAGUAAUACUUUAUGAGAAUAGAAAAGGGCAUCCUGUUUCUAUUCAAAGCGCAAGCGCUUAAGGAUGGGCCCGCGUAUCAUUAGCUAGUUGGUGCGAUAACAGCCCACCAAGGCAACGAUGAUUAGCCGGUCUGAGAGGGCGAACGGCCACAUUGGAACUGAGAGACGGUCCAAACUCCUACGGGAGGCAGCAGUGGGGAAUAUUGCGCAAUGGAGAAGAACUCUGACGCAGCAAUACCGCGUGAGCGAAGAAGGUCUUCGGAUCGUAAAGCUCUGUUAUCAGGGAAGAAGAAAAUGACGGCACCUGAUGAGCAAGUCCCGGCUAACUACGUGCCAGCAGCCGCCGCAG